rnacentral:tRNA from 15 species
AGGCCAAUAGCUCAGCUGGUUAGAGCGCACCUCUGAUAAGGGUGAGGUCCAUGGUUCGAGUCCAUGUUGGCCUACCA